rnacentral:rRNA from 1 species
UACGGGGGGGGCAAGCGUUGUUCGGAAUUACUGGGCGUAAAGGGUGCGUAGGCGGUCUCGCAAGUCUGGCGUGAAAGCCCAAGGCUCAGCCUUGGAAGUGCGCUCGAAACGGCGAGGCUGGAGUGCCGGAGGGGAGAGUGGAAUUCCCGGUGUAGCGGUGAAAUGCGUAGAGAUCGGGAGGAAUACCGGUGGCGAAAGCGGCGCGCUGGACCACUACUGACGCUGAGGAACGAAGGCUAGGGGAGCAAACAGG